rnacentral:rRNA from 1 species
GAUGAACGCUGGCGGCGUGCCUAAUACAUGCAAGUCGAGCGAACGGACGAGAAGCUUGCUUUUCUGAUGUUAGCGGCGGACGGGUGAGUAACACGUGGAUAACCUACCUAUAAUACUGGGAUAACUUCGGGAAACCGGAGCUAAUCCCGGAUAAUAUUUUGAACCGCAUGGUUCAAAAGUGAAAGACGGUCUUGCUGUCACUUAUAGAUGGAUCCGCGCUGCAUUAGCUAGUUGGUAAGUUAACGGCUUACCAAGGCAAGGAGGCAUUGCCGACCUGAGUGGGUGAUAGGCCACACGGGAACUGAGCCACGGUCCAGAGUACUGCGGGAGGCACCAGUAGGGUAUCUUACGCAAUGGGCGAAAGCCUGACGGAGCAACGCCACGUGAGUGAUGAAGGCCUUCCGAUCGUAAAACUCUGUUAUUAGGGAAGAACAUAUGUGUAAGUAACUGUGCACAUCUUGACGGUACCUAAUCAGAAAGCCACGGCUAACUACGUG